rnacentral:miRNA from 1 species
ACACUGAAGGACCUAAACUAAC